rnacentral:ncRNA from 1 species
GACAUCGAGCGAAGCGCAUGCCUCGCGAGAGGGAACCCGGUGGGAAUCCGGGACUGUCCCGCAGCGGUAUGCAGGAACGACCGCCGUCAUCGGCACUGGUCGCAGCGAUGCGACUGGGAAGCGACGGCCAGUAGGUGCACCGAGGGGUGCGCGCCUGCGAGUCCGAAGACCUGCCUGCUGUGCCGGGCGCGC